rnacentral:rRNA from 1 species
UACGUAGGGUGCAAGCGUUGUCCGGAAUUAUUGGGCGUAAAGAGCUCGUAGGCGGUCUGUCGCGUCGGCUGUGAAAACCUGGGGCUCAACUCCGGGCCUGCAGCCGAUACGGGCAGACUAGAAUUCGGUAGGGGGGACUGGAAUUCCUGGUGUAGCGGUGAAAUGCGCAGAUAUCAGGAGGAACACCGGUGGCGAAGGCGGGUCUCUGGGCCGAUAUUGACGCUGAGGAGCGAAAGCGUGGGGAGCGAACAGG